rnacentral:rRNA from 1 species
UGUUAGUGGAGACGGGUGAGUAAUGCGUAGGAAUCUACCUAGUAGUACGGAAUAGCCAUUAGAAAUGGUGGGUAAUACUGUAUAAUCCCCGAGGGGGAAAGAUUUAUCGCUAUUAGAUGAGCCUACGUUAGAUUAGCUAGUUGGUGAGGUAAUGGCUUACCAAGGCUAUGAUCUAUAGCUGGUCUGAGAGGACGAUCAGCCACACUGGAACUGAGAUACGGUCCAGACUCCUACGGGAGGCAGCAGUGGGGAAUAUUGGACAAUGGGCGAAAGCCUGAUCCAGCUAUGCCGCGUGAGUGAAGAAGGCCUUCGGGUUGUAAAACUCUUUCAAUAGGGAAGAUAAUGAGGUAACCUAUAAG